UCCAGGUGAAAACAAUAACGUCGAUCUCCUGAGGAAGGAGACUGUCUUAUUUAUUGAUAAGCUGACUAAUUAUUCAAAUUAUAAUUAUUAACCGACUGAAUAUGGGGAAUGAGGUCUUCGCCGAAGGGAAUUCUGAGAAGAGAGAAUCGGCCACGGUCACUGCAGUGAAGCUAGUUAUCUGUUCAAGAUUAUUACAUAUAAAGGUUCGACGUUUGAAGAGGCAAGAAGUCAACAUCAAUUGCUUCAAGAAGCUUCAAGAUGAUCUCUCCAUCUUCCACCAGCCGCAACAUUUUCAAAACUUGUACCGGACAGAUAUGAGAUUUAGAUAAAAUAAAAAAGUCAAUUUAUUUUCAGUA